UUUCCUCCUGUGAACUUGUUUAUAAGUUGAAAUAUUGUCAUAUAAGGCAUUGAAAUAAUUGCAAUAUCAGAUUAAAAAUAUAUAUAUCAACUUUUAGAUGCAUAGAGCUAGAAAGCAAAAUAUAGCCUCGACCCUCGAUAUGCCAAAAGUGAUGCCUAAUUAGACCAGUUCAGAUGAUGAAGAUGCCAAAAAAUAUUGAACGGAACCUAGUAAUCAUGAAACUAAAACUUCUACUACAUUUAAACCAUAGCACACACAAAGACAACAAUAUCAAUCACCACAGGUAGACUUUUCACGACAAGUAAGAAACUUGGUAACCACGAAACUAAAGCUUCUACUGCGUGUAAACCAUAAACACACGCACAAAGACAACAAUUUCAGUCACCACAAGUAAGUUUCUCAUAAAAAGUAAAAAAAAAAAACAAAAAAAUGAAGAAUGGAAAAAAACAAAAAAAAAAACGAAGAAUGUAAAACUAGGUAAGAGAUAUCCUUUGGUAGGCGAAUUUGUGAAUUAAAAUUCAUGGAGAUUUACAAAUUGAUUGACAAAAUGCAGAUAAAAAAAAGCCAAUAUAAAUCUAUCAGACUAGUUGACAAAAAAAAAAAUCUAUCAGACUAAAACUAUAGAGGAAAAGCAACGUCUAAAACUAAAUUAACUGAUGGUUCUAUCUGUUGACUGGCCCA
rnacentral:lncRNA from 1 species